GACAAGAAAUAACAAUACGGGGCUUAAUGUCUUGUAAUUGGAAUGAUGGGAAUUUAAACCUCUUCCAGAGUAUCAAUUGGAGGGCAAGUCUGGUGCCAGCAGCCGCGGUAAUUCCAGCUCCAAUAGCGUAUAUUAAAAUUGUUGCAGUUAAAAAGCUCGUAGUUGAAUUUCUGCUGCAUUGCAUUUUCUCCUAUACGAGUUUUUGCAUUGUGGCUUAUUUCGGUUAUAAAAUUAUUUUUAUUUCCGGAUGUUUACUUUGAGAAAAUUAGAGUGCUCAAAGCAGGCUUUUGCCUUGAAUAGUUUAGCAUGGAAUAAUAAAGUAGGACUUUGGUUCUAUUUUGUUGGUUUUAGGUACCAAAGUAAUGGUUAAUAGGAACAGUUGGGGGCAUUCGUAUUUAACUGUCAGAGGUGAAAUUCUUAG
rnacentral:rRNA from 1 species